UACGUAGGGUGCAAGCGUUGUCCGGAAUUAUUGGGCGUAAAGAGCUCGUAGGCGGUCUGUCGCGCGGCUGUGAAAAUCCGGGGGCUCAACCCCGGACUUGCAGUGGGUACGGGCAGACUAGAGUGUGGUAGGGGAGACUGGAAUUCCUGGUGUAGCGGUGAAAUGCGCAGAUAUCAGGAGGAACACCGAUGGCGAAGGCAGUGGGCUGGGCCGGCACUGACGCUGAGGAGCGAAAGCGUGGGGAGCGAACAGG
rnacentral:rRNA from 1 species